AUUGAACGCUGGCGGCAGGCCUAACACAUGCAAGUCGAACGAGUGGCGGACGGGUGAGUAAUGUCUGGGAAACCGCCUGAUGGAGGGGGAUAACUAGUGGAAACGGUAGCUAAUAACGCAUACCAUCAGAUGAGGCCAGAUGGGAUUAGCUGGUUGGUGGGGUAACGGCUCACCAAGGCGACGAUCCCGCGCUGGUCUGAGAGGAUGACCGGCCACUCCGGAACUGAACAACGGUCCAGACUCCUACGGGAGGCAGCGGUGGGAAAUAUUGCCCAAUGGGGGCAAGCCUGAUGCAGCCAUUCCGCGUGUAUGAAGAAGUCCUUCGGGUUGUAAAGUACUUUCAUCGGGGAGGCGUUACCCGCAGAAGAAGCACCGGCUAACUCCGUGCCAGCAGCCGCGGUAAUAC
rnacentral:rRNA from 1 species